AUCUAUGGCCAUACUACCCUGAAUGUGCCCUGUCUCACCUGAUCUCGAAGCCAAGCAGGGUCAGGCCUGGUUAGUACUUGGAUGGGAGACCACCUGGGAAUACCAGGUGCUAUAAGCU
ensembl:rRNA 5S_rRNA 5S ribosomal RNA